rnacentral:rRNA from 1 species
UCCAGACUCCUACGGGAGGCAGCAGUGGGGAAUUUUGGACAAUGGGCGCAAGCCUGAUCCAGCAAUGCCGCGUGAGUGAAGAAGGCCUUCGGGUUGUAAAGCUCUUUUGUCAGGGAAGAAACGGUGGAGGUUAAUACCUUCUGCUAAUGACGGUACCUGAAGAAUAAGCACCGGCUAACUACGUGCCAGCAGCCGCGGUAAUACGUAGGGUGCAAGCGUUAAUCGGAAUUACUGGGCGUAAAGCGUGCGCAGGCGGUUGUGCAAGACAGAUGUGAAAUCCCCGGGCUCAACCUGGGAAUUGCAUUUGUGACUGUACGGCUAGAGUGUGUCAGAGGGGGGUAGAAUUCCACGUGUAGCAGUGAAAUGCGUAGAGAUGUGGAGGAAUACCGAUGGCGAAGGCAGCCCCCUGGGAUAACACUGACGCUCAUGCACGAAGGCGUGGGGAGCAAACAGGAUUAGAUACCCUGGUAGUCCACGCCCUAAACGAUGUCUACUAGUUGUCGGGUCUUUAUUGACUUGGUAACGCAGCUAACGCGUGAAGUAGACCGCCUGGGGAGUACGGUCGCAAGAUUAAAACUCAAAGGAAUUGACGGAAGGGCG